rnacentral:rRNA from 1 species
UACAGAGGUCCCAAGCGUUGUUCGGAUUCACUGGGCGUAAAGGGUGCGUAGGUGGUGGGGUAAGUCGGAUGUGAAAUCUCCGAGCUCAACUCGGAAACUGCAUUGGAAACUACCCUGCUAGAGGGUCGGAGGGGGGACUGGAAUACUUGGUGUAGCAGUGAAAUGCGUAGAGAUCAUGAGGAAGACCAGUGGCGAAGGCGGGUCUCUGGACAGUUCCUGACACUGAGACACGAAGGCCAGGGGAGCAAACGGG